UACGUAGGGGGCAAGCGUUGUCCGGAUUUAUUGGGCGUAAAGAGCGUGUAGGCGGUUUGGUAGGUCCGUUGUGAAAACUCGAGGCUCAACCUCGAGACGCCGGCGGAAACCAUCAGGCUAGAGUCCGGAAGAGGAGAGUGGAAUUCCUGGUGUAGCGGUGAAAUGCGCAGAUAUCAGGAAGAACACCCGGUGGCUAAGGCGGCUCUCUAGUACGGUACUGACGCUGAGACGGCGAAAGCGU
rnacentral:rRNA from 1 species